rnacentral:tRNA from 1 species
GCUGCGGUGUCAGAGUGGUCGAAUGUGCACGCUUGGAAAGCGUGUGUACGGCAACGUACCGAGGGUUCAAAUCCCUCCUGCAGCGCCA